rnacentral:rRNA from 1 species
UACAGAGGUGGCAAGCGUUGUUCGGAAUUACUGGGCGUAAAGGGCGCGUAGGCGGCCUUGUAAGUCCUGUGUGAAAUCCCCCGGCUCAACUGGGGAACUGCACAGGAGACUGCUUGGCUUGAGUUCGGGAGAGGGAAGCGGAAUUCCGGGUGUAGCGGUGAAAUGCGUAGAUAUCAGGAGGAACACCAGUGGCGAAGGCGACUACCUGGCCUGUUCUUGACGCUGAGGCGCGAAAGCUAGGGGAGCAAACGGG